GAUGAACGCUGGCGGCGUGCCUAAUACAUGCAAGUCGAACGAACAGCCGCGGUUCUUGCUCCUCGGUCGAUAGCGGCGGACGUGUGAGUCACACGUGGAUAACCUACCUAUACGACUUGGAUCACUUCGGGAAACCGCAGCUAAUACCUUCUACUAUAUUGAACCACAUGGAUCCUUACUGAAAGACGGUGUUGCUGACACUUAUACAUUGAUCCGCGCCGCAUUAGCUAGUUGGUAAGGUAACGGCCUACCCAGGCCACGAUGCGUAGCAGACAUGAGAGCGUGAUCGGCCACCCGAGAACAGAGACACAGCCGACACUCCGGCGGGAAGCAGCAGUAGGGAAUCCUACGCGAGGGGGGAAAGGCGGACGGAGCAACGCCGCGUGAGUGAUGAUGGAGCUCGGAUGGGAGAACGAAGUUAUAAGGGAGGAACAAAAGUGCAAGUAGCAAUGAAGGUCUUGACGGUACCUAAUCAGGAAGCCACGGCUAACUACGUG
rnacentral:rRNA from 1 species